rnacentral:rRNA from 1 species
GGAAGUAAAAGUCGUAACAAGGUUUCCGUAGGGGAACCUGCGG